UAAGCGGAGGAAACCAACAGGGAUUGCCCUAGUAACGGCGAGUGAAGCGGCAACAGCUCAAAUUUGAAACCUGGCGCAAGCCCGGAUUGUAAUUUGCAGAGGAUGCUUCUGGGCAGCGGCCGUUCUAAGUUCCUUGGAACAGGACGUCAUAGAGGGUGAGAAUCCCGUAUGUGACCGGCCCGCACCCUUUACGUAGCUCCUUCGACGAGUCGAGUUGUUUGGGAAUGCAGCUCUAAAUGGGAGGUAAAUUUCUUCUAAAGCUAAAUACCGGCCAGAGACCGAUAGCGCACAAGUAGAGUGAUCGAAAGAUGAAAAGCACUUUGGAAAGAGAGUUAAAAAGCACGUGAAAUUGUUGAAAGGGAAGCGCUCCCAACCAGACUCCGCGGCGGUGUUCCGCCGGUCUUCUGACCGGUCCACUCGCCGCCGUGGGGCCAACAUCGUCUGGGGCCGCCGGAUAAGACCGGAGGAAUGUAGCUCUUUGAGUGUUAUAGCCUCCGGUGAUGCGGCGCGCCCCGGGCGAGGUCCGCGCUUCGGCAAGGAUGUUGGCGUAAUGGUUGGCAGCGGCCCGUCUUGAAACACGGACCAAGGAGUCUAACAUCUAUGCGAGUGUUCGGGUGUCAAACCCCUACGCGUAAUGAAAGUGAACGGAGGUGGGAACCGCAAGGUGCACCAUCGACCGAUCCUGAUGUCCUCGGAUGGAUUUGAGUAAGAGCAUAGCUGUUGGGACCCGAAAGAUGGUGAACUAUGCCUGAAUAGGGUGAAGCCAGAGGAAACUCUGGUGGAGGCUCGCAGCGGUUCUGACGUGCAAAUCGAUCGUCAAAUUUGGGUAUAGGGGCGAAAGACUAAU
rnacentral:rRNA from 1 species